rnacentral:rRNA from 1 species
CCUACGGGAGGCAGCAGUGAGGAAUAUUGGUCAAUGGACGAGCGUCUGAACCAGCCAAGUAGCGUGAAGGAUGACUGCCCUAUGGGUUGUAAACUUCUUUUAUAUGGGAAUAAAAUGUUCCACGUGUGGGAUUUUGUAUGUACCAUAUGAAUAAGGAUCGGCUAACUCCGUGCCAGCAGCCGCGGUAAUACGGAGGAUCCGAGCGUUAUCCGGAUUUAUUGGGUUUAAAGGGAGCGUAGGUGGAUUGUUAAGUCAGUUGUGAAAGUUUGCGGCUCAACCGUAAAAUUGCAGUUGAAACUGGCAGUCUUGAGUACAGUAGAGGUGGGCGGGAUUCGUGGUGUAGCGGUGAAAUGCUUAGAUAUCACGAAGAACUCCGAUUGCGAAGGCAGUUCACUGGACUGCAACUGACACUGAGGCUCGAAAGUGUGGGUAUCAAACAGGAUUAGAUACCCUAGUAGUC